GAGCUGUAGUGGUGAUCAGAGAGUGUUCAGUCCUUUAACACACACUGACACACAGCACAAUGAUGAUGUCACUCAUUCUACUGCUGGGGACACUGGGACUCCUCACUCAGGAAUCAUUUGGGGAAAUAAUCCUGACUCAGACUCCAGGAUCUCAGUCUCUUACAGCAGGACAGACUGUUUCUAUCAGCUGCAGGGCCAGUGAGAGUGUUAGCAAUUAUCUCAACUGGUACCUACAGAAACCUGGAGAAGCUCCUAAACUCCUGAUCUAUGCUGCAUCACACCGUCAGUCUGGGAUUCCAGCUCGUUUCAGUGGUAGUGGAUCUGGUACAGAAUUUACUCUAAAAAUCACUGGAGUCCAGGCUGAAGAUGCAGGAGAUUACUACUGUCAGCAGGGUUACAGCACUCCAUUCACACAGUGUUAGAGCGCCAUACAAAAACCUCCCUCAGCUGUAGAGGAACUGCUCUGAAUCAAACACAGACUGAUCUGAGAUCAACUGCAGAUCUUGCUAAAUCUGCACUCAACUCAAAUCAUCAACUCCAAAACACUACAGUACUGAACCGUUUGCUCUUUUAAAUUGUCAUCAUUGUGUAAUAGAUAUCUACAUCUCUACAUAUGUAGCAAGUUAAUGUCUUUCCUUUAAACCAACCCCUGAUAACGUCCUGCUUCCACACUGUGUCAUAUGUAUGUGUGUGUGGAUCUCUGUUCUCUCCAGUUAGUUUCCCCAGACCCAGUCCAGAGUUCCUCUACAGAUCUUCAUACUCACUGUCCAGCCCUGAAACAAGGCCCUGCCCAGAGGAGGGAUAUAAGGAAGUGUUUGGAGGAAGAAGAAAGAGAAAGAUGAUAUUUUGGACAUCUGGUUGUUCGAGUGAUAGUUUUGAUAUUUGAUUCAGUGCUUGGCUUAUUUUCCCACUUACUUUUGAUUCUGAGCUUGUUUGAUCCCUCUAACUUGGCCACUGUUGUAAAUUUGUAUAUAGUGUGUAUGUAUUUGUGUGCUCUGGAAAGCAGGGAAGGGCUGCCGUUGAGUUUGGGCCCUGGGUUAUUUUGUCUGUGUUAUCACUUAGGGAGUUAAUGUAGUCUUAUCUUAGUAUAGGAUAUUAUCAGAGCAUGGUUGUGAUCCAUCAGCCUGUGGGUUAUGGUCCCAGCACACUUCCACUGCACCACUCUGCUCUCCUGCUAAUAGAGAAAUAAUAAAAUACCUACAAACUCAC